CGGACCUCAGAUCAGACAAGACUACCCGCUGAGUUUAAGCAUAUCACUAAGCGGAGGAAAAGAAACUAACAAGGAUUUCCUUAGUAACGGCGAGCGAAC
rnacentral:rRNA from 3 species